CACAUUUGGUGAGGACCUUUUUGCUGUGUCAUAAUGUGGAAGAAGGUAUCACAUGGAAAAACAGAGCAUAUGAGAGAGAAGGGGCCAAACUCCUCUUUUAUAAGGAUGCCAUUUCUUCAGUAACCAAUUUGCUUCCUUCAUAAUGGCAUUAAUCCAUUAAUGAGAGCAGAGACCUCAUGGCCUAAUCACCUAUUGUAGGUCCCACCUCUAAAUAUUGCUGCAUUGGAAAUUAAUUGUCUAACACAUGAACUCCGGGCAACACAUUCAAGCCAUAGUACUAUUGUCUGAACUUGGACAUUUCCCAAGUUACAUGAGAUAUAUGACCUCUAAAUUUUAGGUAUUGGCAAGUUUUACCUGUAAAGGGCCAGAUAGUAAAUAUUUCAGGCUUUUGGGGCCACUACCAUCUCUGUCAUUAUUUCUUCCUCCUUUCUCUUUCUUUUCCUUUCCUCCUUUCCCUCUUCCUCUUCCUUCCUCCUUCCCUUCUACAGUUAUUUACAAACGUAUAAUCAAUUUGUAUUGCCUUUUUAGGGCUAGCAUAGCAAAGUACCACAAUUGGGUGGCUUCACCAGCAGAAAUUUCAUUAUCUUUCAGUUCUGGAAGGUAGACAUUUGAGUUCAAGAUGUCAGCAGGGUUGAUUCUUUCUCUUUCUUUUUUUUUUUUUAGUUAUGUAUAUUAUUUAUUUAUUUAUUUAUUACAUACAUGACAAUAGUGGAGUGUAUUACAUUCAUAAUUAUCUAUUCACAGCACAAUUUUUUGUAACUCUGUAUAUAAAAGGUUGAUUCUUUCUGAGAGCUGUGAAGAAGAAUCUGUUCAAGCCUCUUUCCUAAUCUUCAGUGGUUUGCUGACCAUCUUUGGAGUUCCUUGGUGCUGUGGUUUGAAUGUGUCCAUAUGUUGGAGACUUAAUCCACAAUGCAACAGUGUUGAGAGGUAGGACUUUAAAGAGGUGCUUAGGUCAUGAGGGUUCUGCCCUCAUGAGUGGAUUAAUGUCAUCAUCCCAAGAAUGGGUUUCUGAUAAAUGGGUGAGUUUGGUUCCCUUCCCCUCCUCUGGCUCAAGCUCUCUCGCCCUCGCCUUGUCUUGCCCGUCUGUCUUCUGCUGUGGGGUGAUAUAACAAGAAGGAAAGCCCUCACCAGAUGUCAACAUGUUGAUACUGAGAGCAGAGACCUCAUGGCCCAAUCACCUAUUAUAGGUCUUAUAAUAGGUUUCCAGUUCCCAGAACUAGGACUUCCCAUUGCCUGUGAAUUACUUAGUCUGUAGUAUCCUGUUAUAGCAGGGCAAAAUGGGCUAAGACACUUGCCUUAUAGAAGUGACACCCUGAUCUUGGAAUUUAAAUUUACGUAGUGUUCUCCCUAUACAUAUGUCUACAUCCAAAUUUACCCUUUUUAUAUAAGGUCACUGUCAGAUUAGGGGCCUACACUAUUCUAGUAUUAUUUCAAGUUAACUAAGUAUAUUGACAAUGACCCUAUUUCCAAUCAAGUCACAUUCUGAAGUUCUGGAUAUUAUUUUAACAAAUGAAAUUUGGGGGAGACACAGUUCAAUCCAUAAGACCAUUCCUAGCUCAUCUAGAUAGGUCAUGGAGUGUAUGUACUUUGUUGAUCCCUUUAGUAAAAUUCUCAUUUAUUCUAAAAUCCUAUAAUUUUCUAUUCUACGUGACUUUAUGGGACAAUUUUUUUUUUUUUUUUGAGAUGUGGGCCUCACUACUUUGCGAAGGCUGGCCUUAAACUUGUGAUCUUUCUGCCUCAGCCACCUGAGUAGCUGGGAACAAGCAACCAUGCCCUGUUGUAUGGGACAAAUUGUCUAUUGUAUUUAUUCAAUUAACAAAUUUUAUUGAGCACUUACAUAUGCUCAAGCACUAUUCGUGGUGCCAGGACACAGAAGUGAAAACCUGAUAAAAAUUAUUUUCCUCCCAAGUCUUAAUGUCUAAUAUGAAAAGCAGACCCCCAACAAAAUAAACAAAAACAACCCAAAUACAUAAGAUGGCAGUAGGUUCUAAGAAUAAAAUUUCAGGGGCAAGAGAAAGAUAGCCAUUCAAUUGAAUUUUAAUAGGGUAGUCAGGGAAUAUUUCAAAGAAAAAGUAACAUUUGAGCAGAGAAGAGACCUGAAUGAGGUGAGGAAUUAGCACAUGAUAUCAGGUGCUAUGGUUUGGAUAUGAUUUGAUUAUGUUCCCCAAGGAUUCAUGUGUGGAAAGUAUGGUCCUCAGUGUGGUGAUAUUGGGAGGUAGUAGAACCUUUAGAAUGUAGGUUAAGUGUGAGGUAAGUAGGUCACUGGGACCACUGCUCUCAGAAGAGAUUAACGUAGUUCUCAGGGGACCCCAGUUAGUUCUGUGAAAGUGGGUUGUUAUUUUAUAAUAGGGAAGAUUCAGCCAUCACUGGGGUAUUUUAGAAUCCCAGGACAUCAGAGUGAAAUUAUCAGUUGUCAGUGUUUGCUUUAACAUCUGAAAAAAGCUUCCUGUUCUACAUCCCUGCAGACCACUGGGUGCUGUGGGUGAGGCGAUGCCCUCCUCUGCCAUGGCCCCCUAGGAAGCUGUCCUUCUGUUGAAUACUGUACCUUUGCUCGCUCUCAAUUCGAGUGGACUGUGCUUUAGUGUAUUUAUAAAUGAUGGAUUCAGUUUCUGAAAUUAAACUUUUUAUUUGCGGUUUUCCAAAAAAAAAAAAAUGUGAGUUGUUAUAAAAGAUCAUGUGAAUCAUUAUAAAAGAGCUCUCUCUACUCUCUGGCUUUCUGUCUCACCAUGUAAUCCCUCUGACAUGUACCUCUACCACAAUACUAUAUGCCAGGAGGUCUUCACCAGAAACCAAAAAAAAAAAAAAAAAAGGGUUUGCCCAACCUUAGACUUUCAUUCUUCAAAACUGUAAGUUAAAUGAACUUCUUUUCUAUAUAUGUUAUCCAGCCUCAGAUGUUUCAUUAUGGCUAGUACAUUUAGGGAAGUCAUGUUUCUGUCAAAUGAAAGAGCAAUCUAAGGUAGAAGUGAGGGCCAGAACAGCAAGAGGAAAGUGUGCUUGAGUAAAAAGGAGGCAGGAGAGAAUAUGAAGAGAUGAAAUCAGAGAUAAUGUGGGGUGUGAGGUGUUCAAUGGUGAAUAGUCUUGAAUUACCACCUUAGAUAAGGGUCAGUGUCAAGAUGAGGGUGGGGCAAGCAAAGCACACAGUUUAAGGAGGCAGUCAUUCUCAGAACUCUGCAAGUACAGGGUGGGCACCUAAGAGUGAGUUCCUCCUUAAAUUAUGCACCCCAGGAAUCUCCCAAGCCUCACCCUAGUUCUGGUCCAGGUAAAAGCUUUGGAUUCAAUAACAAGUGGGACAGGAAGCCUCUGGAUGGUUUUUAGGAGAGGGGCAUGAAUAACAUUAACUUUUAUCAGAAUUACUCUGACUGCUGUAUUUAGGACAAGGAUAGGAAAAAUGAAACAAGUUAAAAGCUCACUGAACUAGCUUCCCAAGAAAAAGUGAAUCAAGGCUUUAUACCCAAUAAUCCACCUAGGGGUGGGCCACCCUAAAAAGCUGUCAUGCAUAUAACCAGUGUAACUUGUGUUGUCUUUUUAUUUUCACAUGACUUUCUUUGGAGGUCAUCUGAAUACUAGACUCUAUGGCAGUUACUGGGAUUCCAUUCAAAGAAUCAACAAGAAAUGGUCCCUAUCUCAAAGAAUUAAUAUUUUCCUUUCUUCUUUUCUUCUUUUUUUCCUUCCUUUUUUUCUUUUAUAUUUUGAAAUUUUGCAAAAGCAAAAGCAAGCAAACACCAAAAAGUCUAAGUCCCCACUCUUACCUUCUUAGGAAUUCACUAUGCUUAUUUUCUGAUGCAUGUAUCUAUGCCCAUUCCAUUUAGAAUAGUAAAUAAAUGAUGAUAAGAAUUAGGGUACAACUUAGGAAAUUGGCCAUGAUUUAUUAUGAAUUCUCAUGAAAAUAUUAGACCUCCCUUUCACUCAUAGGAUCAGGAAUUUGGGGGACUUAAAUGUUAGAGGUCCUCACAUUCAACCCUCUCAUUUGUCUGAUGAUGAGACUGAGACCCAGAAAGACAAACCUCUAAUUACCCACCUACUUAGUGGUUGAGUGUGGCAGAUUGCAUUUUUAAAAGCUGUCUACAAUAAUUUGUUUUGUUCCACAUGCUCUUGAAUGCAACUUUGACACUGAUCACUGAGAAGAUGGGAGUCUAUGUUCCCUGCCUUGAAUCUGGGUAUAUCAGUUUCCUGUAGCUGCUGUAAACAAAUCACCAAAAACUUGUGGCAUAAAACAACACAUAUCUAUUAUUUUACAGUUCGAGAGAUCAGAAUUCCAAAAUAUGUCUUAGUAGGAUAAAAUCAAGAUAUUGGCAGGGCCAGAUCCUUCUUGAAGCUCUAGGGAGAAUCUGUUUCCAUGCCUUUUCAAGCUUCUAAAGGCUGCUUGCAUUCCUUGGCUCAUGGCCAGCAUCCCUCUGCCCUCUGCUUCUGUAUCAUAUCUCCUUUUCUGAUUCUGAACCUUCUGGAUUCCUGUUAUAAGGACAUUUGGGAUUAUAUUGUAGCCACCUGGAUCAUCCAGGAUAAUCUUCCUAUCUCUGGGUCCUUAACUUAAUCACAUCUGCAAAGCCCCUUUUGCCAGGUCAGCUAACAAAUUUACAGGUUCAGGGAUUAAACUGUGAACAUUUUAGAGUGCUCUUUGUUCUGCCUAACAAACCAGGUCAAUUUAUGACUACAGGAGAAUUGAGGUUAUGUGAUAUCCAAGGCAAGGUCAUGAAAGUGAUAUUGUCAAUUGUCUUGAAUCCCUUGCUUUUAGAACCCAGUUGUCCUUGCCAUGCCUUGAGGAGGCCCAAACUAACCCAAGCAGAAAGGCUACAGGAGAAGCCAUGUGUCAGUGUCCUGAAGAACAGCCAGCUGUGGCCUCAGCUGAUACCAGCAUCAGUGGGCACCCAUAUGAAUGAAGAUGCCCCCAGAUGAUUCCAGAACAUAGCUGUCACUUCACUUAGCUUUCAUGUCUUCCCACCUGAGGCUCUAGGUAUCACAAAGGGGAGAUAAGUAUCUCCACUACACUCUGUUGAAAUCUUGAUCCACAGAUAAUAUGAGAGAUAAUAAAACAAUUGCUGUUGUUGUAAGCCACGAAUUUGGAGGUAAUUUGUUACAAAGCCAUACGGAACUAAUAUGGAGAGCCACACAGCAGAACCUAGGUCUUCAGUUUCUCAGCUUUAGUGCUUUUUUCCACCUCAAUUAUUACCUUUCAGUCAAGCAAGAAAACCAGUGGUUGUUGAGCAGCUAUUAGGAACAAUGCCCUCUGGAAAAUGUAAAGAAUAUAAAACUUGCUCUUCAUUCUCAAAAAACAUUCCCUUCUCCAGUGAGAAAGACAUCCAGGUGCAGAGUUGGGAGGCUCGUAGGCAAGGCAUGGUAAGAGAUGGGAAGAACCCCAAGUAUGUCACAGGAAAAGGAGAGAAAAGAGAGUCCAAGGAAUAUUCUGAAGGUUAGUUGACAAGACUUCCUGGUGAGGAAUGCACAGAAAGAAGAGGUAAGGAUUCUAUUGUUUCUAGCUAUUAAUAUACAUAGGAAAUCUAGGGGGAGACCCAGGCCUGAGGAAACUUUAUGGUGUGCAAUCUGGUCAUCAGUGGAGCUAAUAUCUGUUCUCGAAAGCAUUUUCAUCACUAAGCAAUGCAUGGUUCCCAAUGAUGGAGCUGUUAGAGAACUAACUGGGAUCACCCUUGGGGGUAUCUGUACUAUUUAUUUAAGGAAUUAGACUUCUUAGCACUCAUUCCCAGUGCGUAUAUGGUUUUCAGUACCAUAUAUGGCAGAUGCUACAGUUUCACAUAAACUAGUAGCAGUUGUUCAUCCCAGUAAGUCAGAGAAGGGUGUGUGGAAUAGGUGUUGUCAUCACUAUUUUACUUCUAAGAAUAUAUUCAGAAUGUGGAGUGCUCCUUCCCCAUGUGUGCAUCCUCUUAAGCAGAAAGCUUUUCUCGUCCCAGAGAUGGAGCAAUUUUCUCCCCAUUGUCUGUUGAAUUCUGAGACAUUUUCAUAUGAAUUACAGAAAUACACAGACACAACCCUAACCCUAACCUCUAACCCUAACCCCCAUGAACAUAUUCUGUUUUAUUUUUACAAUGGGUCACUUUCACAAUGAGCUAGAAAGUUUGCUUCCACACAUUUAUAAACAUGGGAUUUCUGUCUGAAGUUGGGAAAAUGUUUCUUUUUCAACAAUGUCCAUGACUCCAUGGAAAAUCAGUGUCUUAAUGAUCUGAUUUGCAGAAAAUGCUAUUUGAAUUUACUUGAGCCACAGAGGAAUUAUUUCUACCUUUUAUUUCAUUCUUCCUACAGGCAGAGAUGGUAUGUUUGACUCUAUGGGAAGUUAGAAAAGCCCAUGACUACAAUAAUACACAUGAAACAUUCAAAUGGUUGAGAAAAAAUUAAAGGACUUUAAGUUUUAUGGUUUUAGAUGGGAUAUGCAUAAAAAUAGGCAUAUCAAUUCUCCAUUUUUAAAGAAAUAAUAUUUUCCUGAUUAUAAAAUACAUAAAACUUUACUUUUAAAAUUUCAGAAAUUAUUAUAUUGCUGGUGGGACUGCAAAUUGGUGUAACCACUAUGGAAAGCAGCAUGGAGAUUCCUCAGAAAAUUUGAGAUGGAACCACCAUUUGACCCGGCUAUUCCAUUCCUUGUUUAUACCCAAAGGACUUAAAAUCAGCAUACUACAGUAAUGCAGCCAAUGUUUAUAGCACAAUGCAGUCAAUGUUUAUAGCAGCUCAAUUCACAAUAGCUAAGCUAUGGAACCAACCUAGGUGUCCUUCAAUAGAGGAAUGGAUAAAGAAAAUGUGGUAUAUAUAUUCAGUGGAAUAUUAUUCAGCUUUAAAGAAGAGUGAAAGUAUGACAUUUGCCAGUUAAAUGGAUGGAGUUUGAGAAUAUCAUGCUAAGUGAAAUAAGCCAGUCCCAACAAACCAAAGGCAUAAUGUUUUCUCUAAUAUAUGUAUGUUAAUUCACAAUAAGGCAGGAAGCACUAGAGAAGAAUAGCAUUACCUUAGAUUAGGUAGAGGGAAAUGAAGGGAGGGCAGGGGAGGAGAUGUGGGGAUAGGAAGGAUAGUAAAAGGAAACAGACAUUAUUACUUUAUGUAUAUAUGUGACUGCAUGACCAAUGUAAUUCUACAACAUGUACACUCAGAGAAAUAAGAAAUUAUAUCCCAUCUAUAUAUGAUAUAGCAAAGUGCAUAAAUGCAUUCUAUUGUCAUGUCUAACUAAUUAAAAUUAAAUUAAAAUAAAAAAUUAGAAAAUAUGUUAAAGGCAAUAAGAAAAAAAAAAUCUCUUGUGAAUCUUUACCCAGAGAUAACUACUGUCUAUAGUUUGAAAAAAAAAUACUUUGGGCCUCAUGCUUUGCAGAAAAACCCUUGGAAAUUCUUAAUGAAAUUAUGCAUCACUUGCUGAGUUACAAGUGAUUUUUUUAGCCAGGGUGUUUUUUUUUUUUGUUUUUUUUUUUUACUUACCAUAUCACAAACAAUUUUAUGUCAAAUUUUAUUUAGGAAGUCAAUGUGACAGGUUUUCGAUGGACUGGAUAUACUUAUUACAUUAGUGUUGGACUAUACAUUGAUUUUAUUUAUAUUACAUUUAUCUUCUUUAUCCUUAGUCAAUACAUAUUUACUGCAGACCCACUAUAAGCCUAGCAUUGUUCUAGGCAGUGAGGACAAGGAGAAGAAUGAAACAGACAAAAUCAUUACCACCUGUGAAUUUGCAUUCAAAAAGGGAAGACAGGUGACAAUCAAAUAGACAAACAUGCAGUGUGAUAGGUGGUGUAGUAGUUCUCUGCCUAUUAUUUAAUAAAAGCUUUGCAUAUGGACUUCCACGGAUUCUGACUUGUAUUUUCAGAAUAAAAUCUUAUUUAAUAAAAACUGAAAAAGUCAGGCACAGUGGUGCACCCCUGUAAUCCCAGUAACUCAAAAGAUUGAGGUAGGAGGAUUUUAAGUUCAAAGCCAGCCUCAGCCAUUUAGCAAGACCUUUUCUCAAAAUAAAAAAUAAAAUGUGUCAGGGGUGAAGCUCAGUGGAGCUCUCUUUGGCUCAAUCCCAAGUACCAUCCAAACAAACAAACAAAAACGAAAAGAAAAAAAAUAAAAGAAACAGUUUACAAUCCUUAUCUACAGUUUGGGUUUGGAUGUAUUAUAACUGCACCCAAAACUCCAGAGAAUCAAGAGUGCUCAAUUGUCCAGUACUUCAAAAUAAAUAAUCUCAAAUAGGCUUAAAAUAACAAUUAUUAUAUCUCUUAUUGCUCUGUAGAUUGACUGGGCUCAGUUGGGCAUUUCUUACUUGGGGUAUCCUACACAUGCAGUCGGAGAUAGCUGGGGCUCAGACAUCCACGGGUCUUAUGGUAUUUGAACUUUUAAUAUAAUAUGUAACAUCCCCUUGAGAGAGCUUUCCAAGUGCAUAAGGCAGAGGCUACUCUACUUUUAGCCUCUCGCCAGAAAUCACAAAAAAUCCCUUAUACCAUACUCUACAGAGAGGACUAAGACUCUAGAUUCAAUAUACUAGAGGUCUUCACAAAGUUGUGUGCAUACCAACAGGCAUGGUUCAUCAGGGAACCUUUGAAGAGACUGGAUACCAUAGCAGGAAAUGUGGCUUAGACAAAAUGAAAUUACACAAUCAUAGAUCACCCCACAGAGCUCAGCAUAAACUAGGUAAAGAUCCCUUUCUAAAACAAUUUCAAAGACACAAGCCUGCUAACUCUCUGGAUCAAGUAAAGCUGGCAGAGGGAAGAAUUGCUGAUAGAGCCAUUGUCUCCAUAGGCAUGACUCUGAUGGGUGGGGCUGGUAAACCUAGACAUCCUUUUGUUGGGGAGAGAGGACUCCUGCCACUGGGAGUACGAAAGCAGUAUUUGUUUCUUUUCUCCAGAAGGAGCUAAGCACAUCUGAAUACCCAAUUCUGCUCUGUUCAGCGCACCGGGUAUACUGUGCUAUCGCUGCCCUACGAUACACACAGUGGCAAUCUGGUCCUAUAACUCCUAAAUGCAUUUUGGACCUGAUGCUAGUCUCUUUAAGUGCAUUUCAUUCCCACUGUUUCACAAGAACCUCCUUUUUCAGAUUAGGAUACUGAGGCACAGAAAUGAAACAGUUUGCGCCAACACAUAGAUAAGUGGUAUCCCAGGAUUCAAACCCAAACAAUCCAAUACCACAGCCCAUUCUCUUGAUGGUUGCACUCCUCUGCUUGGAGAAAAUCACUUCAAUUCUCUGGGUUGCAGGUUCCUCAUCUGUAAGAGAGUUAACACCCCUUCCCUUACACACUUGUGCUAAGAAGUGAGAGUCUGCCCAGUUUUGCCACCUAGAAGCUAUGGAACCUUGCACAAAUUGUUCAACCUUUCUGAGCCGUGGUUUACUUAUCUAAUCAAUGAGUACAUUAUAUUCUUAUGAGAAGCUGAUGGCAUGAUGCAUAUAAAGUACAGUGUAUGGCAUAAGGGGCUUGAUAAAUGCUAUUAACUGGCAUUAAUAUUAUUGCUGUAAGACAGUUUUGAGGUUCUUUACUUAAAUCUAAUACCCUUACAAGUCUUGCUGAAAUUUCUGUUAUUUUGUCUGAUUUUUACUGUUCUCUUAUUUUCCCACCCAGGAAACAGCUGCACAUUUGGGCAGAGGGACAUAGAAAGCAUUGGUAGAUAGUCACGUUGCCACCACAGAUGUCCCUGCCUUGGCUGAGGACAGAAGACAGCAGCCAAUAUUCACAGAGGACUGCAGAUGUUCUCCUUUAACUUGGAUCAGAAGGGCUAUUAUGGACAACACAAUGUGUGGGUAUUGCAGACUUUUCUGUUCGAAAUGGAAUAUUGCAGAAUAUGCACACAUUCAUCCAAAGCUUAUUGAAUACCUACUCUGUGAUGAUUGUCUUGGAAAUACAAAGAUGAAUGGGACAUACUCCCUGUCCCCUAGGACCACAAAAUACAGACAAGGAGACAAAACACACAUAAUUAACUAUAGUACAGUGUGAGGAGUUCUAUGUAUAGCAGAAAUACAAACAGUGGUUGAUCUCAGAAGGAGACAUUUUGUCAGAAGAGGCUUAGAAGGAGACAAGGGAGGCUUCUUGGAGGAUGUGGUAUUUUAUCAGUUCUAUAAAUAAUGAAAGGACUUUACUAAGAGAUAGGGUAGGACAAAGAUCACGGAGGUGGAGGAAAUGAUAUGAAGGCAGAUGGAAAGGAAGGACAGGGAGCUACCUGUUAGAGCAGGGCGUGUGACAAGUGCUACAGAUGGCUGGGCCACCUCCAUCCAUGACUUCACCUUCCCUGGUCAUCUUCCAUAAUGUGACACCUUCUGGUCAUUGAGUCAUAAGCAGAAGAUUGCUGGGUUAGGAUUCGGGGAGAGUGUUUCCCUUACCCGUAAAAACAGGACAGGCUCAAUUAGCAGGCACUUUCCUUCAACUUUUGCCCUUCACAGUCUCUCCUUUCUCCUCCUGGGAAUGGUGGGUGAGAUUCCUGGAGGGGUAUCUUGAGGUCAUGGGGUGAUAAGCAGAAGAAAACCAUAGAGAUACAGGAGCUUGGGCCGUCAUCAGGCACCUUACCAGCCCUUGGGUGGUAGACCUCUUAAUUUCUUAUUUGGUGAGAAAAAUAGCUCUCUGUUUGUUUAAACCAGAGUACACUGGAUGUUCUGUUAAUUCCAAAGGAAUUAAUAGAGGGGGUAAUAAUGACUUAAGGAAUAUAAGGCCAAAAAUAAAUAAAUAAAUAAAUAAAAGAGGGGGAUCUAUAUUGUGAAGGGCCAUAGAGUCCACAUGUGGAAUGACUGUUCCUUAUGUAGUAAGCAGAGGUGAAGUGUAGCCAGGUGGUAGAGCUCAGCAUGCAAGAGGUCCUCGAUUUUAUCCCAGCACAUUAAACAAAAGCAAAAAAACACUUGUUAUUUACUGGGCAAUGGGAAACCAGAGAAGGUUUGUGAAUAGUAAUAAUACUUAAACUGUGCUGUAGGAGAAAUUAUUUGACAACAAAAGAGAAAGUGCUUGGAAUCAAAGAAACUGAGUAAGAAGAAGUUCUAAUGGUUGCUGUACAAAGUAGUGCCUCCUAUUACAAUCUCCAUCACUAGCAGGUAUAUCUGUAUCAUCAGAUAUAUGCAAUUGAUCAUUUCUAUAUUUAGGUAAAGUGUACUUAUAAAACUUGGUCCUGUUACUAAUUUGUAAGUCUAACUAAGAUGAUAUUUUGCUCUACAAAUCAGUUCCUUAAGCGUCCUUUGCAACCAGACUAUAAUUCUUCCCCUCAUUCUUUCCCAUUUCCUACUUAAAAUUUUUCCUUUCCCACCACCCUUAGUAGGAGGGUAGUAAUAAGCAAUGAAGGGAGGGAGACAGGUGAAGGCAUUUCACGGGAAGAACUAACCAGUCUUGCGAAUUGUUUAAAUGUGGCAGGUCAAGAAGCAGGAUGAAUGAGAAAUGACUCCAAGCUAAGGCCUAUGUGGCUCAAAGUCAGGAAAGAGAAUGAAAGGCAUGCAGAAGGGGUGGGAAAUAGUGGGUUCCUCAGGCCAGUGACUGCCAGAAACUGUCUACAUUGGGUGGAUCCCUUCAGGGAGACCUCCUGGUGCUGCACCUUGGUUUAGGGGAUAUAAAGAUCAGUGAGACCCUUGAGGAUCUCACACUUCAUCCAUUUGUAAACAUUCAUUGAGUUGUCUACUGGUAACCAGGCUUUGUGUAAGUGAACACAAAUACAAUAUGCUAAGUUCCAGGGCUCAUGGUGUUUGAUAAUAGAGAAAAACAGAUAAACUAACAAUGGCAAAGCAAGACAUGCCACAGGUGUGUGGCGGAAAUGUUGGGAUAAGCAGAAAAUUGGAGGGAUGUCUGGGAUGCCUUCACAAUGGAGAGGACCUGUCUGAAUGCUAAGUAGGCAAAAGUAUCCCAGACAGAAUAGACAGUAUGUGACCAAGGUGUCACCACACCUAGUACAUCCUGCCAUUGGGUUGCUGCAGCAGUGGUGGGGGAGGAGUAUGUGUAAUUAAGUGGAUGAAUGAAGCCCAAAAUGUAAUCUGCAAUUUACUUGCACAAUUUUCUUAACCACUCUGAGCCUCCUUUGCUUCUCUGUUAAAUGGGAAUAAUUCCGUGGGACUUUUACGAGGAUUAAAUGGGAUAAUGAAUGCUUAACACAGUGCCAAGCAUAGUAAAUGCUCAAUAAAUGUUAGUUGUUGUUAUCCAGUAGGUCACAAGCUGGAUUAGAUGGGCAUUUUAGAAAGACAGAAGUAGUGUGUGCUAGCAGACUGUGGAUACAGGAAGUCCACCUGCGAGCAAGAAGACGGAGCUCAGGGUGAUCAGUGGUAGUGGACAGCCCUGGAAGAUGAUCAGAACAUAAAUAUCCAGUUAGCCCAAAUAGAGUUCCUUAAAUUAGGCUGGCAUAGUAAAUUGUAAAUUCAAAUGCUGCAAAAUGAAAACAAUCAGACUACUAGUAAGCUGGGAAAAAUGUUUAAUUUAUGGAAUCGAUCCUGAAGGUACUGGCAUUUCCUUUAAUUCUAGAGGGUCAGGUAGCUUCAUUCAAUGUAAUAUGUUUUGCACGUUUCCAUCAGAUUCUAUUACACCAUGGCCUUUAUUCAGGCAAUGGAGUAUUUAAUCAGAUACAAAAAGUAUGUCUUGAAUAUUUACUGUGCGCAAAGUAUUAGUAAAAGUGUCAUAAUCUUUAGCACAAGAUCCAAGUUUGUUCGACAAGGUUGUUCUUGUGCCAAAGAGCCCUGGGGGAAAAGAAUGUAUGAUUUUUAAAAUUUGAAGAUGUAGAAGCAAAAAAAAAAUAGUUAUAAACAACUCUGAAAAUUCAAUCACUGAUUCUUUCUAAACUAGUAUAAUACUCAAAAUAAGAAAAAAAAAUAACCUCAAAAUUUUCUCAUGGAAUUUGUUCAGGUCCCAAACAAUAACAUGAUUCUACGGUGCUGUCCUGAGCAGCAUCAGCAGGGGAAACCAAGACACCUCCUCAGCUGUCUGUGGACCUCAAGAGGGUUUGUUCUCAUGGAUACACGUGAGUCUGAAUGUUCACCAGGGUUUCCCACAGUUCUCUCAAUCCAAUGGUGGGUGGUGUAGUAAACAAAAUCACCACAGACACUAGGACCAUUGAUCUAGAACCUACCAUGUGCACAUUGCUUAUCACUAAUCUGUAUAGUAGCCAUGACACAGGCAUCGCCAUCCCCAUUUAACAGAAGAAAAGAAUGAGUGUCCAAAGGUUCAGGAUGAGGAGUCAAGCUGAG
rnacentral:lncRNA from 1 species